rnacentral:misc_RNA from 1 species
UUCGUUUUUGAUUUGGCAAUAUUCUCUGAUAAUCGAGCCAACGAUUGUAAAUUGCACCGCACGAUCGUAUUUACGAACACGCAUGUUUCUUCUUUUGUAUUUCCCGGCGGCACGUCCACCACGUACGACUCCACAACCACCGUUCCGCCGCCUCCCGGUGCCACGUGUAAGCUCGUGACCGACCGGUAAUUCUUCAGCCUGUGGUCUCCUCCUACGACGCUGAAGCUCAUCACGUGCUUUUCAUCGUCCAGAAUCUCCAACCGUUCUUUACUCGACAACGCUGGCAGACCUGACACCACGUGCACCUCACGCACCGUUCCGACCGUUUCGCCAUCGCCGUCGACAAUCCGGCAGCUCUUCAGAAAUUGCUUGUACGUUUGUGGGUUGUCGAAUCGCCGGACUAACGACCAUACCACGGCCACCGGAGCGUCGAUGGUUUGCACCACGACGGAGCUGCACUGGUCCGACGCCACCGCAUGUUUGUGGUCAGUGACCGCGCACGGCGGCGGAAGGAAUUGAUUUUUUGGAUUAACGGCGGCGUGAUGACAAUUGAAAGUGGUGGUGGGAUUAGUGGCGGUGUAGCGGUAGAAUUGAAGCGACGACGGCAUAUUUAAUUUUGAGGGUAAGGCUGAGUUUAAAGAGAG